GAUGAACGCUGGCGGCGUGCUUAACACAUGCAAGUCGAACGGGAAAUACUUCAUUGAGACUUCGGUGGAUUUGAUUUAUUUCUAGUGGCGGACGGGUGAGUAACGCGUGGGUAACCUGCCUUAUACAGGGGGAUAACAGUCAGAAAUGGCUGCUAAUACCGCAUAAGCGCACAGAGCUGCAUGGCUCAGUGUGAAAAACUCCGGUGGUAUAAGAUGGACCCGCGUUGGAUUAGCUGGUUGGUGGGGUAACGGCCCACCAAGGCGACGAUCCAUAGCCGGCCUGAGAGGGUGAACGGCCACAUUGGGACUGAGACACGGCCCAGACUCCUACGGGAGGCAGCAGUGGGGAAUAUUGCACAAUGGGGGAAACCCUGAUGCAGCGACGCCGCGUGAAGGAAGAAGUAUCUCGGUAUGUAAACUUCUAUCAGCAGGGAAGAUAGUGACGGU
rnacentral:rRNA from 1 species